rnacentral:tRNA from 1 species
GGGCCCGUAGCUCAGCGGUAGAGCAUCUGACUUUUAAUCAGGUGGUCGAUGGUUCGAUUCCAUCCGGGCUCACCA